rnacentral:sRNA from 1 species
AGACCAAAAGCGAUAUGAGAGAGAGCUGAGUGAGAUGCGGGCACCUCCAGCUGCUACAAAUUCUUCCAAGAAGAUGAAAUUCCAGGGAGAACCCAAGAAGCCUCCCAUGAACGGUUACCAGAAGUUCUCCCAGGAGCUGCUGUCCAAUGGGGAGCUGAACCACUUGCCGCUGAAGGAGCGCAUGGUGGAGAUCGGCAGUCGCUGGCAGCGCAUCUCCCAGAGCCAGAAGGAGCACUACAAAAAGCUGGCCGAGGAGCAGCAAAAGCAGUACAAGGUGCACCUGGACCUCUGGGUUAAGGUGAGAGGGCAAGGGACCCUUGGAAGGAACAGAGAGGCAUCAGACUAAGCCAGUACCAUCCUAGCCUGGCCCAUCCACCCACUUGUGCUGGCUGGUCUCAUUCAUGAUUUCAUUCCAUGCCCUCGCAAUCCUU